rnacentral:lncRNA from 1 species
CAGAUAAGAUAAUGAAAAAUAUCUAUCAUCCAAGCACCAAAAUCAAAAUGCUGGCAUCCAACUUUUUUAAAUAAUUGCACCUAUUGGGAUUUUCAUCCUUCUUAAAUUUGAAUUUUUCAUAAUACGGGAAUUGUUCAGCAACACCUCCUCUCCCCUUAUAGUAACCAUGUGCUGAUAUAUUAUAAUCUACGUUUCGAAAGGCCACUACUACUUGAUUUCUGAAAAUGCUGUAAUUACUAUAAAAUUCCUUCGGGCCAUGCCUUAGUAUGGGGCACCAUCAUGUUAUAAAUUGGAUAUUAUUUUAAUCUUUAUCUUUUCUAUUACAAACUUCAUCCGGUUUCUCCCCCUUUCUCUGCAACUCAUCUUCAUCAUUUGCUUGAAUACCAUGGAAUAGGAUGCUAAAUUUUAUGCCAGUGCUAAGUAGCACCAGAUAGACCUUGAAUGCAUUAGUGUUCUCAAGAGAGUUAAUAACCAAGUACUCAUAGAAUAAUCCAAUUUUUUUCAUUGUUGGACCAAUUUUCCAUUCUAGGGUUCUUUGAGCCCUAUCUUCUUUCCCUCCUUAUUCUUCCUACAAAGUCUUCAUGUAUGAAAGAUCAGGCUGAAAAGUUUGAUCUGGAAUAUCCAAGCUACCACCACCUGUGGCCUACUAAGACUCUUCUCUAGAAUCUUUGUUAUGAAUGAGUUUUCGAAUAAAAGACCACUAUUUAGGAAGCUAAUGAUCUCCUUGACCCUUUAUCCCUUUUGAAGUCUCCUCACACAACCAUCCAUCUUGAUCAUGGCGCCUGCCUAUUUAUAAUCACCCACUUUCAAACAC